rnacentral:rRNA from 1 species
UACGUAGGGUGCAAGCGUUAAUCGGAAUUACUGGGCGUAAAGCGUGCGCAGGCGGUGAUGUAAGACAGUUGUGAAAUCCCCGGGCUCAACCUGGGAACUGCAUCUGUGACUGCAUCGCUGGAGUGCGGCAGAGGGGAUGGAAUUCCGGCGUGUAGCAGUGAAAUGCGUAGAUAUGCGGAGGAACACCGAUGGCGAAGGCAAUCCCUG